CCUCACUUGCAGCAGAACAUUUGGAAGAAGUGAUGAAGAAGCUGACACCUGAACUAUUUGAUAGCCAGCCUGACCUCCUGCACCAACUUGUCACCCUCAUGAAUCCCAACACCCUCAUGUCCCAUGGUGUGCCAGUUGUCCGCACAAACCAGUGUGCAGGAGAAUUUGUCAUCACCUUCCCCCGUGCUUACCACAGCGGCUUCAACCAAGGCUACAACUUUGCCGAGGCUGUCAACUUUUGCACUGCUGACUGGUUGCCUGCUGGGCGCCAGUGCAUUGAGCACUACCGCCGGCUCCGGAGAUACUGCGUCUUCUCCCAUGAGGAGCUUAUCUGCAAGAUGGCUGCCUGCCCAGAGAAGCUAGACCUAAACCUGGCGGCAGCUGUGCAUAAGGAGAUGUUCAUCAUGGUGCAAGAAGAGCGGCGUCUACGAAAGGCCCUGCUGGAGAAGGUGGGGAGAGUACCCCAGAUCAAGCACCCUAUUCUGGUGGAAGUUCGGGGAGGCAGAGGCAGCACCAAGAAGAUGUAGCCUCUACUCUUGGCGUAUAGUGAAAAGAACUAGAUGUAUCUCGAUUGAAAACCACAUACCAUUCUCUGCUAUACCCUUUACCAGCAACCUUGCUUAAGUCGAUUUACUUCAUUGUCAGUUUUCCCCUCUGAAAAAUGGGAUUAUGAUAAUACUUAUCUUUUUGGAUAGUUGAUUGUAUUAAAGAUAAUGUUUGCUUA
rnacentral:sRNA from 1 species